GCCGAAGUGGCGGAAUGGUAGACGCGCUGGACUCAAAAUCCAGUGUACGCGAGUACGUGUGGGUUCGAGUCCCACCUUCGGUACCA
rnacentral:tRNA from 1 species